ensembl:lncRNA
CAGGCCACACUUCAGGCCAAAUCCAUAUUAUGAAGACCUGGAGAGAAUGGAGGAGGCAGUCAUGUCAAUUCUGCACAACUUAGAGAUGGAGAACACUGUGAUCCAUGAGAACAGCCAUAAGCUGAAGAAGGAGAUUACCUUCUCUAGAAACCUGCUCAGCCAGCUCCUGAUGGAAAACACAUGUAGGAAGAAGUUGGUCCCACUGAAGCAGGAGAGCAAGGAGAGACAUCUUGAGUGUGCACUGAACCAGAAAUAUUUGGUUGACUUCAGCAAGAAAGAUAAAGACCAGCAACGUCCAGACCCAGCAUCAUCUGGUCUCAGAAAGUGCAAGAGAGAUGGAAUUGGACACACGCCAGUAAGAGAGCUUCCUGAGGAAUAAGUUGCUUUCUCAGGAGUCCCUGAUGACAAACAUCGUGAACGAAAACAGCACUUGAGAGACAACUUGGGGGACCACCUUUCAUUAUGUGUGCUAGAGGAGAAACAGCAAUACAUCUGUG